rnacentral:rRNA from 1 species
GACGAACGCUGGCGGCGUGCUUAACACAUGCAAGUCGAACGGGAAGGCCCUGCUUCUGUGGGGGGCUCGAGUGGCGAACGGGUGAGUAACACGUGAGUAACCUGCCCUUGACUUUGGGAUACCUUCAGGAAACUGGGGCUAAUGCCGGAUAGGAGCUACUGCUGCAUGGUGGGGGUUGGAAAGUGUCGGCGGUGGGGGAUGGACGCGCGGCUUAUAAGCUUGUGGGUGGGGUAGUGGCUUACCAAGUCUUUGACGGGUAGCCGGCCGGAGAGGGUGACCGGCCACAUUGGGACUGAGGUACGGCGCAGACUACUACGGGAGGCAGCAGUGGGGAAUAAUGGACAAUGAGCGGAGACAUGCUGAAGCAACGACGCGUGGGGGAUGAAGGACUUCCGGUUGUAGUCCGCUUUCGCCUGUGACGAAGAGUGAGUGACGGUAAUGGGUAAAGAAGCACCGGCUAACUACGUG